rnacentral:rRNA from 1 species
CCUACGGGCGGCAGCAGUCGAGAAUCAUUCACAAUGGGGGAAACCCUGAUGGUGUGACGCCGCGUGGGGGAAUGAAGGUCUUCGGAUUGUAAACCCCUGUCAUGUGGGAGCAAAUUAAAAAGAUAGUACCACAAGAGGAAGAGACGGCUAACUCUGUGCCAGCAGCCGCGGUAAUACAGAGGUCUCAAGCGUUGUUCGGAAUCACUGGGCGUAAAGCGUGCGUAGGCUGUUUCGUAAGUCGUGUGUGAAAGGCGCGGGCUCAACCCGCGGACGGCACAUGAUACUGCGAGACUAGAGUAAGGGAGGGGGAACCGGAAUUCUCGGUGUAGCAGUGAAAUGCGUAGAUAUCGAGAGGAACACUCGUGGCGAAGGCGGGUUCCUGGACAUUAACUGACGCUGAGGCACGAAGGCCAGGGGAGCGAAAGGGAUUAGAUACCCGAGUAGUC